UACGGGGGGGGGCAAGCGUUGUUCGGAAUUACUGGGCGUAAAGGGCUCGUAGGCGGCCAACUAAGUCAGACGUGAAAUCCCUCGGCUUAACCGGGGAACUGCAUCUGAUACUGGAUGGCUUGAGUUCGGGAGAGGGAUGCGGAAUUCCAGGUGUAGCGGUGAAAUUCGUAGAUAUCGGGAGGAACACCAGUGGCGAAGGCGGCGAUCUGGGGCAGAUACUGACGCUGAGGUGCGAAAGCGUGGGGAGCAAACAGG
rnacentral:rRNA from 1 species